rnacentral:rRNA from 1 species
UACAGAGGUCCCAAGCGUUGUUCGGAUUUAUUGGGCGUAAAGGGUGCGUAGGCGGCGGAGUAAGUUGGGUGUGAAAUCCCGGGGCUUAACCUCGGAAUUGCAUUCAAUACUGCUUCGCUUGAGUACUGGAGAGGAGGCUGGAAUUUACGGUGUAGCAGUGAAAUGCGUAGAUAUCGUAAGGAAGGCCGGUGGCGAAAGCGAGCCUCUGGACAGUUACUGACGCUGAUGCACGAAGGCCAGGGAGCAAACGGG